rnacentral:rRNA from 1 species
GAUGAACGCUGGCGGCGUGCCUAAUACAUGCAAGUCGAGCGAACGGACGCUACGCUUGCUUCUCUGAUGUUAGCGGCGGACGGGUGAGUCACACGUGUAUAACCUCCCUAUCAGACUGGGAUCACUUCGGGAAACCGUAGCUAAUACCGUAUAAUCUUUUGAACCGCAUGGUUCAAAAGUGAAAGACGGUCUUGCUGUCACUUAUAGCUGGAUCCGCGCUGCAUUAGCUAGUUGGUAAGGUAACAGCUUACCAAGGCGACGAUGCAUAGCCGACCUGAGAGGGUGAUCGGCCACACGGGAACUGAGACACGGACCAGACGCCUACGGGAGGCAGCAGUAGGGAAUCUUCGGCAAUGGGCGGGAGCCUGACAGAGCAACGCGGCGUGAGUGAUGAAGGUCUUCGGAUCGUAAAACUCUGUUAUUAGGGAAGAACAGAUGUGUAAGUAAAUGUGCACAUCUUGACGGUACCGAAUCAGAAAGCCCCGGCUAACUACGUG